GACGAACGCUGGCGGCGUGCCUAAUACAUGCAAGUAGAACGCUGAAGAGAGGAGCUUACUCUUCUUGGAUGAGUUGCGAACGGGUGAGUAACGCGUAGGUAACCUGCCUUGUAGCGGGGGAUAACUAUUGGAAACGAUAGCUAAUACCGCAUAACAAUGGAUGACACAUGUCAUUUAUUUGAAAGGGGCAAUUGCUCCACUACAAGAUGGACCUGCGUUGUAUUAGCUAGUAGGUGAGGUAAUGGCUCACCUAGGCGACGAUACAUAGCCGACCUGAGAGGGUGAUCGGCACACUGGGACUGAGACACGGCCCAGACUCCUACGGGAGGCAGCAGUAGGGAAUCUUCGGCAAUGGGGGCAACCCUGACCGAGCAACGCCGCGUGAGUGAAGAAGGUUUUCGGAUCGUAAAGCUCUGUUGUAAGUCAAGAACGGGUGUGAGAGUGGAAAGUUCACACUGUGACGGUAGCUUACCAGAAAGGGACGGCUAACUACGUG
rnacentral:rRNA from 1 species